rnacentral:rRNA from 1 species
AUACGGAGGGUCCGAGCGUUAAUCGGAAUUACUGGGCGUAAAGCGUACGUAGGUGGCUUGAUUAGUCGGAUGUGAAAGCCCUGGGCUCAACCUGGGAACUGCAUUCGAUACUGUCAGGCUAGAGUAUAGUAGAGGGAAGUGGAAUUCCGGGUGUAGCGGUGAAAUGCGUAGAUAUCUGGAGGAACAUCAGUGGCGAAGGCGACUUGCUGGACUAAUACUGACGCUAAGGAGCGAAAGCGUGGGGAGCAAACGGGAUUAGAAACCCCGGUAGUCC